UCCGUCCGGUCCGGCAGCUUCCACGCCGGAGGUUUCAUCUGGGCCCUCGUGUGCCGCCUCCACGAUCGCAGCGCGCCGUGCGGCCUCGCGUCCAUCUCCCUGGAGCUAUCCAAGAACGAGACCGACGAGGACGUCGUCGCCAUGGCCAGCCUCCGGAUCGACGAGAGCAGCGGCACCGGCAAGUUCCCGGCCGCCGUGUGGUGCAGCGAUAAGCCCAAGACCUUCGACGCUUGGUCCACGAGCGCUGUCGCCUGGGAGCUCGCCGUCCCGGUUGCGUUCCGGCGCCAUGAGUCACGCUACAUCGACAAGGGCGCUGACUGCCUGACCAUACACUGCACGGUCGACGUCCUCCUCCAGCAGCAGGAGAGCUCAGCCGCCGCCGGAUCAGUUGACACCAGGAACUGCUUCGUGUCCGUGCCGCCGCCGCCCAGCAUCUCCCGGGACUUGCACAGGCUUCUCAGGGAGAGGCAGUCGCCUGAACCGGACGUGACGUUCGUCCUCGACGAUGGUACCGAGAUCCAGGCGCACAAGCUGGUAAUGGCCAUGAGGUCACCAGUAUUCCGUGCCGAGUUCUUAUGCGGGGACAUGAAGGAGCGGAGCACAAGGCACCUCACGAUGGACGACAUGAGCGCCUCCACCUUGAGGGCCAUGCUCUACUUCAUCUACACGGACGAGCAGCCUACACCCAGGAAAGGAAGAUGCCAGGUGGCCAUGGCGCAAGACCUACUCGUGGCCGCGGAUCUCUACGACUUGGAGAGGCUGAGGCUUAUGUGUGAGAAGAUACUCUCCGGGAGCUUGGACGUUGGCAAUGUCAUGGCAACCUUGAUGCACGCGCAUGGCCGCCAUAGUUGCCAACAGCUUGAGGCAUUGUGUAUCGACUUCAUGGCAUCCGACCCCGACGUGUACAAUGCCGUGGAGGCCACCGAGGAGUACAAAGAACUCGAAAAGACAUACCCUUCUUUCAUACAUGAGAUCACGAAGAAAGUAGCCAAGAGCACAAUGGCCCGCAUUAGAUCUCCAACUAAUACUUCUUCCAUGGGCACUAGUGGUGGCAGCAGCAGUAGAGAGGCGACCAAGAGCAUGUCGAGGUAUACCCCACCGGCGGUGAUGAUCGGCACACAUGAGUUCACAAUCCAAAGCUUGAGCUGGGUGAGGGAGACGCACAGUGUCGGUCAGUACAUCCGAUCUGGCAGUUUCAAGGUGGCCGGUUAUGAGUGGACCAUAGAUGUGUACCCGUCGGGAGGGACAGAGGACACGUCGGACCACAUUGACGUAUUUAUUCGACCCACCAUUAAUGAUGGUGAUAUCAAGGUGAAAGCUUCGGUGGCUAUGAAGCCCGUCCACCCCACGGACAAGUCGCCGCCGUUUCCUCCCCAUAAUCUUACACACACAUUUGGCGGCAAGGCAUGCAGGGGCCUUGGGUGGCCAAAAUUCAUCACAUUCGCAUCUGCCAACUCACACUAUGUGGGACACGAUGGCUCUUUCACUAUACAAUGCCAAGUCACGGUAGCCACGGAGUCCUCGACUAGCAGCACAAUUGGCACCUUCAUCCCUGGACCCGUGCUCGUGCCACCGUCCAACCUGGUAUGGCAUCUUGAGCGGCUGCUGGCGAGCGACGAGGGCUGGGAUGUUAAGUUCCUGGUUGAGGAGAGCGAGAUACACGCCCAUGGGCUCGUUGUUGCUGCACGGUCGCCGGCACUGCACGAGGCGGUGCAAGAGUCGGCAACCAACCAUGUAAAAAUUGAUGGCAUUAGAGCCGUGGUUUUCAAGGCCAUGCUCCACUUCAUAUACACUGACAAGCUGCCUCGCGUCCAAGACCUAGUUGCUCCUGCCGUCGGGCAUUCCACGAUGGUCGUGGCUGGAGAGUUGCUGGCAGUGGCAUGUCGGUUCCGUUUGGACAGGAUGGCGCGGUUGUGCGAGAACCUACUCGCGGAGAAGAUCACGCCCGAGUAUGCGCUGGCCACACUGAGGCUGGCUGGGUGCCACGGUUGCACGGAGCUGGAAGCCUACUGCAUCGAGUACAUCUCACAGCCACACGUGGUCAAGGAUGUGAUGAAAACUCUCAAGUAU
rnacentral:rRNA from 1 species